rnacentral:rRNA from 1 species
UACGUAGGGGGCUAGCGUUGUCCGGAUUUAUUGGGCGUAAAGAGCGUGUAGGCGGCCAGGUAGGUCUGGUGUGAAAACUCGAGGCUUAACCUCGAGAUGUCAUCGGAAACCAUCUGGCUAGAGUCCGGAAGAGGAGAGUGGAAUUCCUGGUGUAGCGGUGAAAUGCGUAGAUAUCUGGAGGAACACCGGUGGCGAAGGCGGCAUCCUGGACCGGUAUUGACGCUGAGGAGCGAAAGCCAGGGGAGCAAACGGG